UUUUGAACCCAGGCAGAGAAUAAACAAGUGCUGUUUGCUUUUCUAGGCUUUCAGGGGAGGACUGUGUUAUUUAGGUUUAAAUGAAUCACUCAGGCUUGUGCCAGUAACAUUUGAUCUGUAUUUUGCCCUUAGAACUCUUCAGCUAAAGGAGCACCAUCAGCUGCUGUUUCAGGAUGGAUUCUCUAAAGAAAAAAGAUUUCAGGUUACAACAGAUGUUGCAGCGAAGAUAAUGUGGGAAACUGAAAUAAAUGACACCAAAACUCCAAAGCAUCUGACUGAAUUGGACUGAGAGUAGUAGUAUUCAAUAGCACAUAUGCUGUUGAAUAACAAACAGAUGGAAGCAACCUGGGAUACAUUUGAAUUUCAUCAAAACUACCCUAAGACAUCCCACAAUAACUGAAUACAAAACACCUCCCUGAAAAUCUGGAUUUCAGUCAGUGCAUGGAACUCUAAGUUACCUCAUCUCUCAGACACUUCUCCAAAAUAAAAUCUCUUCUGCAGUUUGCUGUAAUUGACUAUAAGCUGAAAAUACAGGGAAAGCAAGACUGCACUAGCUGUGUGUUGUUUUUCACUACAUCAACAGUGCACUUAGAGAACUCUACCAGUGACACAAAGCUGUAUCUUUCUGAAAUCCCGACAUGCCACGAUGAAGUUUUCCUCAACAUUAAAAGAAACAGAGGAACUACGAAAGGUUUUUACUUUGCAUCGAAUACUUGCCAGCCAUCUUUAACAGCAUCUCAAAAGCAUUAUGGCAUUUAAGAAAGCCAGAUUUUCACUGAGCAAGCUUAGAAUGCAUUUCACAAGGACGCCUGUGAAGCUGGAACUUAAUCCCUCUAUGUAAAUCCUUUUCUUGAUUUACAGCCUAUGAGCUUUAAGGGUAUGUUGCCAAAGAGGAAGAGGAAAACUUACCUCUUCCCCCUGCUCAAACCCAAUCUGAUAAUAGCAGCAUACAACCUUCUAAUGUGCCUUGAGGAUUAAAACCAUCUCAGUCAUGUGGAUGAAGAAUUUGCCUGUAUAUUACAACUCCAUAGCAAUGAGCCUCCUACACUAACAGAGGAGAAAGCUUUCAAUUACAAAAAGGGCAAAUGCAAUUCUCCUUUCGUUACUGAGCAGUAUUACCUGAACUACAUUCAUGCCUCCAGUGCUCAAAUAGAUAGUGUUCUCCCGUCAGCACUAAGAUGCUCAAGUAAACAAUCAAGCAACAAGAUUCUCCAGAUGACUCCAUUUGUCACUAGAAAAAAAGUCACAAGGUACUCUGAAACCUCUCCAGAUCCUACACAAGUCACCGUUGAAGCAGAACAGGAAGGGCAACACAAGCAUCUGCUGUUCCCUCACUGCCAACAUAACUAUUAAUAGUCAAGGAAGCCCCUAAAAGCUAACAUGAAACACAAGAUAUGCUAUCAUCAGCAAAGAAUCUAUGGUAAAGCAUGUGUCUCUAAAGGAUCUGGAUGGCUUGUUUCUAGUCGGUAGGUUGGAUCUGGAAGAAGGAAAGGGUGAGAAUCACCAGCAUCAGAAUGAAGCAGAGGCAGGCUUCAGUCCCCAUUUCUGACUGAUAUCUUCCUUACAGCUCUCAACAAACCAAUCAUGAGCAGCUAAAGCAAGAUAAAUGGGGAGAAAUAAGAAUGGGAUGACUAGUGUUCCCAGAAUCUUUCCUGGUUAAUUCAGAAGUACGUCCUGACCUAAAGGACACAGCUUACUUGAUUCUAAAGUUGCCCUAAAACAGAUAGAGCUGAUGACUUUCGUACUCUAUCCAGGCUCAGAGAGAUCCCACUGCUAUUGGCUGUAACAUCAAGCUUGCAAUUGCUAGUAGGCAACAGUAUAUCUACCAAUCAACAGAUAAAACAGCCUUAAAAAACUUACAAGACAAUUCUGAAAGGAGUGCUAUACGAAAUUAUUUGUUUCAACCAUCACUCACUGUUCAAAUGCACAGCUGCUGCAGUGCUCAUUUGCCAAACACAAAGUAAGUUCUCUUUUCCAAAGAGAGCUCAAUAUUAAGUACUUGCAGCAAGUUGUACUCGAUCACUGAGGCCACAGGAUAUUGACGUAAGGAUUGAAAUAAACCUCUCCUUCACUUGCUACACCUUCUGAAGCCAUCAAAUUAUUUUAACAGUCUGAACUUGUUUGCCUUGAAUGUGUACUGGACACAACAGAGUGAACUAAGAUCAAUACUGGGCUGCUACUCCUGCUGAUUUUUCUCCUUCAACUAUUUAUAGCAAGAAUGUCAGAACAGACUGUUCAGCACUCACCCAUUAUACACAGUACAAGAUCAUUAGACUCUGACAACCUGAUCUGAAUAGACUUGCUAAGAAAGUCAAUUUCACAAUUAAAAGAAAUAAAUCCCUCGCUAUGACGCCUGCAAGAAGAAAAUGGAAAGAAGAAAAAGCAUAAGGAAAGCUAUAUCCUGGCAGAGGGAAUAAAAAAAUCUGAAACAUCUUCCUGCAAAGAGGAUUUUACUCCUCCUAAAUUUCUUAAAACCAAGCUUCAAUAUUUUUAUGCCUUAUUUUAUUUUAUUAUUAGUUUUACAGCUGCCAGAAAUUGAAUUUUUUUUCAUAGUCCUAGUUUUCUAUUAGGACAAAAGCCCACUCAGACUGCAGACACCGCUGAGAUCCUGCUCAUGCUACUUGACUGCAAGAAAAAUGCAACAGAGAAAGAAAGGCUUGAUUUGACUUCUCCUGCUGCCACAGGCACCUUUGAACUAAGAAAGCCUACAGUAUUUCAGAGUUCAACAUAAUCAUUGAGCAUGCAGUUACCUACAGAAUACCAUUUCCUUUUACAUCACAGGUGAGCAGCAUAAAGAGCAACCAUGCCACUGGAUAAUAACUUAUGAGUUAAAAAUUAAGAUCUAUCUACAAAGGAGAUACUCAAGGGAUCUCUUUCUGACUAACUGCUUCUAACAGUUCAGUCCUGCCUGUAAUGCAUGUCCAUAGUGUGCUUAAUAACUUAGUUCAAUGUGGUCAAGUCAGUGCCAGGUCCAAUGUCCAUGAAAUGUACAUAGCAGCAGAUAUAUACUUUUACCUUUAUAAAAGAGUACCACUAUCUUCUGAAAGGCUUUCAUGAAGUGGAUGUUGUCAUAACAGUACUCCUGCACUUUCUGGAGAAGGAUUAACUCCGACUGGCCUUGAGUGCUGAAGACAGCAAGCAGGGGGGCAUAUUGCUGAAAAGAGGACAAGGUAAGACAAAAUGCAUGUUAUGUUUAAGGCAACACGAAAAUCAUUUUUCAGAUUUGAAGGGAAGAUAGUGAUCUUCAGAUCCACCGACCAAAUAUAUGUUAACAGUACUAUGUAAAGUGUUCUUACACUGAUCAGAUUAGUCUUUCUUUGUUUUCAGCUGAGAAAUGCCAAACUUUCCUUCUGGAUUUGCAAUAGCUUGAUAUAAUGGGGCAGACCUGUGAUACUAGGGCUCCCAACAGAUGUGACUACAACAUAGCUAACACAACAGAUUGAGUUCUUCCAUUUCAGGCAGGUAUAUGCACAUUUUCAGAAACAAUUUAAUAUUUUGGAAAAAACAUGAUGAAAUUCAUGGAGGCUUUAGGCAACACUCUUCCUUUUCCCCUUUUGGCUCUUUACUCAUCCAGCUGUUAGUUGAUCAACUUGUAGGGAGGCAGGGCAAUACACACUGCAGUUUAUGUCCAUUUAAUAGCAGCAGCAGAGCCCGAUUCCAUCCACAGAUCUGUGAUCUGCAACUGCCUGUAACUGUUAAGAAAUGUAUUUAAAAAAACUCCUAACUUUCCAGUUUAGAAAGAAGAAUUCUUCAUAUUGCCACAUUUGAUUGACUUGCUUCACGUUCCUUUCUAACUCAAUAACUGGUAUAGACGUGCAAUUGAAAGUCUCAGUAGUGCCCAAAUAACUAAAGUAAAAAUAAAUAAAAUUAUAUUCCUCUUAUUAUUGGAAGAUAAUGCAGCUUUCCUUGAGGCAAAUGGCUAAGUUAUGUUGCAAUGGGUCAGCAGCUUCAGUGUCACAAUGCUGAGACCACAAUUGUGUCUGUAGUCUGAAACUGUCUAGAGAACUCUCCCAUCCACGAGAACGUCUUUUCUCCAAAUCAGAAGUGGCCUAGGGGUUAACAAUAUUUAUACUAGGCCUGCAAUGUUUCUCCUCCCAGUAUUCAAAUAUUCCAAUGACAUUUGUAAUUUGCCCUGCAGUACUAGACAGCAAUCAAUAGAUACCUUCUUACAGCUCAAGAUCCAUCAUUACAUCAAAAGAACAAAAGAAUAUCUCCCUUCUGCAAACUCUUAUUCUUUCUACUAUUACUUGAGUCACUGUAGCUGGAAAAGACUACAAGGCAUUCAAUUUUACCAUUAAAGACCUACACAAGAUCUCAAGUGACUACAUUUCUAGCAUGACUGUUGCUCUUGAAAAACCAAAUUCAUAUGAAAGGACAUGAAACGCACGGGCCAAACCAACAUGGGAACAUGGUUCAGAUGUAGAAAUCCAUCAGUACAAAGAGGAGGAAUUCUGCCAAGCUUAAGAUCCACGCUGCCAUAAAAAUAAAGGUACUGAUUGCUCUGAUUGUUUCUGUCUUUGGGUAAACAUUUGCAGUUCUGGAUAUGAAGGAGCAUUCUUUCGCUCAUAGCUUAACAGCUUAAAUGGACUAAAUCUGCUGAAUAUCUUCUCUUCCCUUGUUCUGAUUUCAAGUCUCUUGCACUGCACAAUUCUUUCAGAUUUGACUAAAGAACCAUGAAUACAGAGUAAUCAGUCACUGCUGUAGUUCCACACCCACCUCCCUUGGGAAUAAGAGCUUUUAUAUCAAUA